AGUAUCCGGGAACUUCACCAUAGUAGACAUGGCGGGUAUUAACUUUCGUGAAUGACGGUAAUUGUAAUAGAAUUAUUGCCAGAAAAUUGUGUACUUGUGAUUGCUUAAGCUUAACAACGCAGUUUGAUGUUAUUUAAAAUUUAGUAAAGUUAAAAAUGCAGAAUGUAGCACAAGGAUCCACUACAGAUAACCAAAAGCUUGAAAAAGUAAACGUUCAGCACGAUAUAGGGAAAUCGUCGACUCCCAUAUCUUCUAACUCUAGCCCGACGAAGUCUGAAACAGAGACAUUUUCAGAAUUACAACCAAGAUUUAUGACCGAUUCAUCGGAAAGUGAAGAGGAGGACGUGUCUGAGGUUGAAUCAUUUGUGAUAGAUCAGGUUGAAUUGGACGAAGACGCACGGCUCGAAACGUCCAAGUUCCUUUUGACACCAGAGGAUACAGAUCAUUCAGUAGAUCCAGAAACGCAGGCAAGGUUGGAGGCUCUGCUUGAAGCUGCAGGUAUUGGGAAGUUGUCUACAGGGGAUGGAAAACAUCUAGCAGAUCCUGAAGUUCUUCGACGCUUGACCUCGAGUGUUUCCUGUGCAUUGGAUGAAGCUGCAGCAGCUCUUACUCGUAUGAGAAGUGAGAAUCCACGUCCACAAACGGAAACAAGAUCUUUAGUGGAAGCGUGUUCAGACGGUGAUGUCGGGACAGUGAGAAAGCUGCUGACAGAGGGUCGCAGUGUACACGAAACAACUGAGGAAGGGGAAAGUUUGCUGUCCUUAGCCUGUUCUGCAGGCUAUUACGAAUUAGCUCAAGUGUUGCUUGCAAUGCAUGCCAAUGUGGAGGAUCGUGGCAUCAAGGGAGACUGCACUCCCUUGAUGGAGGCUGCAUCAGCUGGUCAUGUGGACAUUGUUCGCCUUCUCAUCGCCCAUGGAGCUGAUGUCAAUGCACAGUCUUCAUCAGGCAACACACCCCUAAUGUAUGCAUGUGCUGGUGGUCACGAGGAAGUGGUUUGUACUUUGCUUGUUGCUGGAGCCAAUGUUGAAGACCACAAUGAGAAUGGACACACACCUCUCAUGGAAGCUGCCAGUGCAGGCCAUGUUGGUGUUGCAAAGUUCUUGUUACAGAUCCUGUUAGAACAUGGAGCUGGAAUCAACACCCAUUCAAAUGAGUUCAAGGAAUCUGCUCUUACGUUGGCAUGCUAUAAGGGGCAUUUAGACAUGGUGCGCUUUCUUCUGGAAGCCGGAGCAGAUCAGGAACAUAAAACUGACGAGAUGCACACAGCACUGAUGGAAGCAUCAAUGGAUGGCCAUGUAGAAGUUGCAAGAUUAUUGUUGGAUUCUGGAGCUCAGGUUAAUAUGCCAACCGAUAGCUUUGAAUCUCCUUUAACACUGGCUGCAUGUGGAGGGCACGUUGACCUGGCAAUGCUGCUCAUAGAGAGAGGUGCCAACAUUGAAGAAGUGAAUGAUGAAGGCUACACACCACUAAUGGAAGCUGCUAGAGAAGGUCAUGAAGAAAUGGUUGCUCUCUUGCUUAGUCAAGGUGCUAACAUCAAUGCACAGACAGAAGAAACUCAAGAAACAGCCCUUACCUUGGCCUGUUGUGGCGGAUUUACUGACGUGGCUGACUUUUUAAUCAAAGCAGGAGCAGACAUUGAAUUAGGUGCAUCUACACCCCUCAUGGAGGCUGCUCAGGAAGGGCACCUGGAACUUGUCAAGUAUUUGCUUGAAGCUUCUGCAGAUGUCCAUGCCCAGACCCAAACUGGAGACACAGCUCUGACUUACGCUUGUGAGAAUGGUCAUACAGAUGUGGCAGACCUCCUGCUGCAGUAUGGAGCUGACUUGGAGCAUGAAUCAGAAGGAGGUCGCACUCCGUUAAUGAAAGCCUGUCGAGCCGGUCACCUGUGCACAGUACAGUUUCUGAUUUCUAAGCGAGCAGAUGUCAACAGGCAAACAACCAAUAAUGACCACACUCCACUUUCCUUGGCAUGUGCUGGCGGUCACUUAGCUGUGGUGGAACUUCUGUUAGCCCAGUCAGCUGAUCCUUUCCACAAGCUAAAGGACAAUUCAACAAUGCUGAUCGAGGCAGCUAAGGGUGGACAUACGAGUGUAGUGCAGCUUCUCCUGGACUACCCUCAUUCAAUCAUGAUGACUACUCCUCACCCUCACAAUACGACAGUGGCAGCAGGAGUGAGUGGUGCCCAGACCCAGACUGUAACUGGAGCUGUGUCAAGCACAGGAGGGCUCCAUGAAGUACCUGAGGCAGUCAGGGUGGUUUCUCAGGAUGAUCUUCAGGUUAAUGCCAACCAGACCAUGGUAGCGGCCAAAUCUGCUGGUAGCCAAGCAGGUCGACUAGUAGAACAUCUAGUGCAGCAAAAGCAGAAGUCUGUUCUUCGUAAAAGUCGAUCCUCAUCUGUGAUGAACGAGAACAACUUAACCUCUCCCGAAGUCCAACAAGUUCGAAACCAGCCUCUUGGAGACAGUGUAGCUAGUCUAAUACCUGUUAGUCUCGUAGCCAAGGAUGAUAGCAAUAUUCUUGACAAGGGCAGUACUACAGAUAUGGACAAGGUGAGGAAGCAGCAGUGUGCAGAAAAUACUAUCAUUCAGAAGCAGGCAAUCCUAGAAGAACUGCAGAGGGUAGAGCGUGAGCUGCAGGAGAAAGGACCAAGUCAGUUGCUCCUUAGUUCUCCACUGCCAGAGGGCAGCACUUCGGCACAGUUUGCAUCACUGGGCAUGGCUGCUGUUCCAGGGGUAUCAGUUUCAACUGCCACGCUUGUUCCGGGAGUGCAGCCAUUGGGUUUGAACAUUGAUCUAGCAUCCCAGUCCAUAGCUACACAAGGGAUGGUUUGUGGUUCUGCCAUCUCAGGACCAUUGUUCCAUCCGGGACCGAACACCACCAUUUCGGUCCAUAAUGCUUUCUACACUGGGAAGAUCCAACAGUCACAGCCACCUCUGCAAACUUCUGCAGCCAGCAGUGCCUGCAUGCAGCAGCAGGCUUUGACAGUGAGUGGAGAAGUGAGCAGUGGUGGAAGCUUUGUGUCUGUUGCCUCGGGUGUGUACUCCUCACCCCCACACUUAACCCAGGUCCAACAGCAGCAGCAGCCAGUUUCACCCUCACAGCCUAUCACUGCGAGUUCUGAUGUUUUGCAGGCAACUGCUAUUAGUGAUCGGCCAAAAGCCAAACCUACAAAGACUCAAGGGAAGAACAGUCGUAAGGCCUACCAACCUGUGCAGCAGCAACAACAACAUAGUCAACAUUUUCACCCUUUCCCUUACAGUCAUGAACUUCCACAACAGAUCUUACAACAACAACAACAACAACAGCCGCCUCCACCGCCGCCGCCACCUCCCCCACCACCACCUCCACCACCACCAAUGCAAUCAGCGCAGCAGACGUUGGACCAAGAAGAUCAUCUCCAGCAACAGCAGCUGGUGUCUCAGCAUCAGCAGUCCCUGUGCAAGAGCAGCCUGCAGAGUGCAGCCAUGAUGACUCGGUCCCAGUUGGUGGCUCACUUGCAACAGCUGGAUCCUAACAUUUCCCCAGCCACUCAACAGCUUACCCAAGUGUUGCAGCAGAAACAUCAGCAGCUGAGGUCUCUUCAGCAGCAGAUUCCUUCUGGUAAUGUGGAGCAUGCAGAUCUAGUUGGACUACUUUCAGAGCAGCAACAACGCUCUCCAGUAUUUUCUAUUGGUGCAGAGGAUGUUUUGGCUGAUGCAGAAAAGCCUGUCAAGACAGAAGAUGCAAGCAGAAUUGAUUUAGACGAAGCAAUGGAUGAAGUAGCACAAACAUUUAGUGGGUUUGAUAUUGAGGGUAUGACACUGGCUGACAGAGAGGAGAUUAAACUGCAGAUGCAGCAGCCAUCUGUUCAGCAGUUCACUGGAAGUCAGGCUGUACUGGAGGAGGCAAUUUCAGUAAUGGUAGCGUCACAGGCCCCCGUCCAAGUUGGAACCACUCAGACAGAUGCACGAGUUGAGUACUUCCCUGUUCCAUCAAGUGGUUCUCAGAUUCCAGCUUUACAGGUUCAGCAUGGAUCCAGCCUUCAUCUGCAGUAUCCACAGUACCACUUAUCUCCUGGUCUCCAAGUUACUGGAGGAGGGUCUCUUGAAGUUGCUGGUGGGAUUCAGAUCACCAAUGGUGGUGGAACGCCCCUUCAGACAACUCAGAUUCUUAAUCCACAGCUGCAGUCUGUUCCAGGGACAGCUUUCCCAUCUCAACUGUUACUGCAGACACCCCGGCUUGCAUUUUCUGGUCAAGCAUUACCGCCAUCCGAGCCGACGCAUGCGACCAUAGCAUCUCCAAGUACCACGGCGCAGUAUGUGCAGCCUUCGUGCAUGAACCAUCAAGUUCAAGUGGCAACACAGACUACGACAGACAAGAAAGGGGCGGCAACAUCGUCGACAGGAUCUGGCCCUGGGGCAGGAGCAGGUUCAGUAGGGAAGGGGAAGAAAAAUCGCUACCAGUUCCAGCAACGCCAGUCACAAAAUCAACAACAAGUUCAACAAAAUGCUGCAACUUUUGGCUCACAAAACAUAGCCCAGCAAAACUACCAGAUAGAUCCUAACACAGGUGUUGGGCAGUAUCCUUCGAGCAGCCCACACUCAGGCACGCAAUGCCUGCAAGCUCCGUUCUCCUGUAUGGAUGUGGACUCUGAGACUGACAGCAACCAUGACACUGCCCUCACAUUGGCUUGUGCUGGAGGUCAUGAGGAAUUGGUAGAACUGCUGCUGUCUCGAGGUGCUGACAUUGAACACCGUGAUAAGAAGGGUUUCACUCCACUAAUUCUAGCAGCUACAGCAGGCCAUGAAAAAGUGGUAGAAAUUCUCCUAACACAUGGGGCUGAUAUCGAAGCUCAGUCAGAAAGAACUAAAGACACACCCCUGUCCUUGGCAUGCUCAGGUGGCCGAUAUGAGGUUGUGGAGUUGCUGUUGACACGAGGAGCAAAUAAGGAACAUCGCAAUGUGUCCGAUUAUACUCCUCUUAGUCUGGCUGCUUCAGGUGGAUAUGUAAACAUUAUAAAACUUUUGUUAGCACAUGGAGCUGAGAUCAACUCAAGAACAGGCAGCAAACUUGGCAUUUCACCCCUCAUGUUGGCAGCAAUGAAUGGCCAUACAGCUGCUGUGAAGCUGCUGUUGGAUAUGGGUAGUGAUAUCAAUGCCCAGAUAGAAACAAAUCGCAACACUGCUCUUACACUCGCUUGUUUCCAAGGAAGGCACGAAGUGGUCAGUCUUCUCCUUGAUAGGAAAGCAAAUGUAGAACAUCGGGCUAAAACUGGUUUGACUCCGCUCAUGGAAGCUGCAAGUGGUGGCUAUGUAGAGGUGGGAAGAGUGCUGUUGGACAAAGGUGCAGAUGUGAAUGCCCCUCCUGUUCCAUCAUCACGAGAUACCGCACUUACAAUCGCGGCUGACAAAGGUCAUUGCCGAUUUGUAGAACUCUUGCUGUCCAGGGGUGCCCAGGUAGAAGUAAAGAACAAGAAAGGCAACUCUCCUUUGUGGUUAGCAGCAAAUGGUGGCCAUCUGAAUGUGGUUGAACUAUUAUACAAUGCAGGAGCAGACAUCGACUCUCAAGAUAACAGAAAGGUGUCAUGUUUGAUGGCAGCCUUCAGGAAAGGGCACAUGAAAGUAGUGAAGUGGAUGGUGAACCAUGUAACACAGUUUCCAAGUGACCAGGAAAUGACUCGGUACAUUUCUACUGUCAGUGACAAGGAACUUCUUGAGAAGUGCCAGGACUGCGUGAAAAUUAUCAGAGCUGCAAAAGAUCAACAAGCAGCGAAGGCCAAUAAGAAUGCUAGUAUACUACUAGAGGAAUUAGACAUGGAGAAGACGCGGGAAGAGUCCAAGAAGGCAGCAGCUGCAAGGAGGCGAGAGAGGAAAAAGAAGAAGAAACUUGAAAAGAAAGAGGAAAAAAGAAAGCUGCAUGAGGAGAAUAAAAAGAAUGAAAUCUUGUAUCAAGAAAAUGAACAGACAAAUAAAAAAUCCACUGAACAUGAAGUUGAAAGACCAGAGGAAAGUGAAAAAGAAGUAUCUGAAGCUCGCUGUGGGGGUAGUUCUCCUGGUGCUGACUCUCCUGUUCGAAAUGGUGAACCAAUGGACAAGGAGGAAGGAGAUAGUGGGAUUGAUGCCAACAGUCAAGGUAGUUGUAGCAGUAAUGACGUAAAGUCAAAAGAGAAGCGUAAAGACAAGAAAAAGAAGAAGAGUAAUGCUGCUGGUGGAGCAGGUUGCAGCAAGAGUGGCGAUAAGGAAUGCUCUUCUACUGUCUCACCAGGAGUUGACACCGCUGUAAGCCGAACAGUGGUACCAGUGAGCAGCAAGCCCCGUGAUGCCCAAGUGCUUGCAGAGACCAAGGACAAGCGAGGUCGGAGCGAGACGGAUGUUACUGCCGGCCAUACGACCUCACAAGCUUCCAGUGAUAAUAGCAGUAAUGCUGUGGGUGGUGGCAAGCUCAGCAGUCGGGGAACUGUGACAGGAGAGAGGAAGCUAAAAGGCCACCUUGUGUUUGAAGCUUCCAGACCACAUCCAGCAGAGAGGGAAGAUUUUGAGGCAACUGGUAAUGAGACGUACAUACCUGCUACAAAAGGAAAGAAGACCUAUAUAAAUCAUUACUGUGAGGGUGAUUCAAAUUCGGGUUCGUGUGCUGGCAAGAACUCGAUGGUGUCUUCGACAAGCCCAAAACAGGGAGGCAAGAGAGAAGAAGGUUGGAAGGAGGUAGUUAGGAAGUAUUUAAAUUCCCCAUUCAGGUCCAAGAAGGUGUCUGUACCACUGAAUGCAAUAAGUCGAGUUAUUGGUCGUGGAGGAAGCAACAUUAAUGCAAUUCGAGGAGCCACUGGUGCACAUAUUGAGGUAGAGAAGCAGAGCAAAGGACAAGGAGAAAGAAUAAUCACAAUAAAAGGCUCUGCUGAUGCAACUCGUCAAGCUCACAACUUGAUAGCUGCAUUAAUAAAAGAUCCUGAUGUGGACAUUCUUCAGAUGCUGCCAAAAUCAACAAAGUUGGCUGUUGUGUCAGUGUCAUCAUGGGACAAAUCAUCAGCAGUGGCAUCAAAAGCCAAAUCUUCAGUAAUCAAGUCGAGUGGUAGUACGAGUGUGCAGGGCUCAUCUUUACUUGGAGCUGGUCCCACAUCAUUGAUGGCCAAACCUGUCUCAGCUGUUGUUGGAGCACCAGUACCGUUGAUUCCUCUUCGCUCAACAUCAUCAGCCAAACUUGGAGGAUCGUUUCCACCUCCAGUAACAAGGGGCACAGCUCCUCGUCUUGUGGCUGCUGCCGAGAAACGUGCAGCAGCGCAGAUGGCAGCUGCCUCCAACACAAAAACCACAAUGUCAUACACGACUGCAAUCAUGACUUCUGGGAAACCAACAAAGAUGGUGACAAGUACCACCACCCAGACAUUUGCUGCUAAGCUGACAGAAGCUACAGCAACGUUACAGCUUCCGUCUGCCGUUGCUUCAGCGGCUGUUUCUGGGAAAUCUCGAACGUCUCACUCCCAGAUGUGUACCACACAGUCCUUGUCCACCACGUCUGCACCUUCCCAGGGUUCCUGCCAGCAGCAGGUAACCGUAACAGCAGCAGCGUCCUCUGUACCAUCACCCAAACAUCACAGGCCUGUGCCUGCUGCAUCUGCCCCCCCUUGCAUCCCAGGACAGUACCAGAUGACUCCUGGCAAGGCACCAUUCUCAUCUACUGGUCCAAUUUGCAUGUCAAAUCCACCUUCCCAAGUACCGUCGGCCAACGUUCCUGUUGCACCGUCUGUUGUGAAUUCCAGUAAUCAGGGUAGAAGCAGUACCCCUCUGAAUCAGCCAUCAGACCAGCAUCAACAUCAGGCAGUUCCAGUGCCAGUGCCAGUUCAAGCCAGUACCCCACUGGAAUACUCUCUGUUCAAUGAUAGUUUUACUAAGGUUACGCAGCAAUCAAUGUGGGGUCGAGACAAUGAAAACUCUCAGAAAGGGAUGAAUUUUGCAAGUGUAGCUGCUACAGGAGCAGUAGCUGGUAAUGGAGCUGGGGUCACAGGAGGAAAAUUCAUUGAUAGCGUUCCACCACAGGUGGAUGCAGCCAAGGCUCCAGGUUACCGUGGCACUAUUGUUUGUUCUCCUGUAUCUUCUAAAACAAGUAGCAACAGCACCACUCCUCCUUCUUUACCAUUGGCUCCAGGAUCAUCAUUUCAAGCUGCCAGUGUCUUCUCAACAGAGCAGUGUGUGCCUCACUCAUCAGGCCCUGUGAUGACCAUGGCUGCUAAGCAACCACCUGUACAAGCAACCCAUGGUGUCCUUGCAGUUGCACGUCCAGGCUCAAGCAGCAACAUGCUCGACAUGCAUCCUAACUCAGGAAAUUCAGGAUCAAAUCUCAAUGUUGGAAUUGUUGGCCAGCAGCCACCUUCUCAUAUGGACGGCGGUCCCUUAGCGCCGCCCCCGUUCGGAAAUCGAGCCAUCUUUCAGAGUGGAGAGCUUCCGCCUCAAACAGUUUCCGGCCAGCAGCACGGCAUCAUUGUGUCUUCAUCACAGUCCACACUAGAUCACAGUGCCCUUUAUACCCCUGUGUCUGCGCCAGGGUAUGGACCAGAUCCUCAGAGUCAUAAUGCAGCUUUGCUCAAGAUGGUACAAGGAGGUGACAGUCAGUCAGUCCCACAACAACAGCAACCUCAACAACAGCCACAGCAACAACAACAUCCAAUGUUAAGUUCCUACCAUCACCAGCAUUCACAUCACCAUCCUAUGAGCUAUUCCCAGACAAAGCCUAACUUGGGUGUUUCCUCGUCCCAAGUAAACACCAACACAACAGUGAGCAUGUCUCGUCUGAAUCCAAGUGCACCUGACUUUUCCCUCCACCUUGCCAACAAACCUCAGCAGCAGCAGCAGCAACAACCUCCACCACAACCACCACCCCAGCAACAACAACAACAACCACCACCACCACCACAGCAGCAGCAGCCGCCACCACCACCACCCCCACAACAAGGGGGCAAUAUAUUUAGUGCCACCACAACAUUCCAUCAGAGAGCGAGCAUGUUGCCUCCUUCAUCGCUGCAGACUUCAGCAUCUGCCCUAGGCACUAUGUUACCCAAUAUCUCAUUCCCAAUAGGGAAAUCCUCUCUUGGCCCAUACCACCACCAGCCACUGCCGGCCCCAGGCCCAGGCCCUGCUGCUAACGGCCAGAGGUGGCCAUUGUUCCAGCCCCCAUACCAUCAUCCACAUCAUCCUCCUGAUGUUAUGGGUCAGAUGAGUUUUUCCGGUAACAUGGCACACUUGGCGUCUCUUGCUGCAAGCUUAGCACACCCUGGAAACAGUGGUGCUGCAGCAGAUAUAUUGGCAGGCUUAGAGAAUGGAGCUAUGGUAGGAGGAGGGAAUUCUCCUGCGAUGUCUCCGUCAUCUCCUGCCAGUGUAAAUCCUGGCCCUGCAGGUGAGCCCAACCACCACAAACUGGAAGAUCGCAAGAUUCCACCACGACCGAUAGGCACCGAACGUGCCAGUUGGAAGAAUAAUUAUGGAAACAUGAGUGGAGUGGGAGCUGGUGGGGACUUGGACCCCAACUGGAUGCUUGGUGGAGGUGAUCCAAAGAUGCCUGUCUCGUCAUGGGUGGGUGCUGGGAUGAGCCAUAAUAUGGAAAGGCACCAGAUAUAUAGGGCCAAUGCCCCACACUACGGGCGAUUGCCACCAGCAGAUGAACUGCCCCACAUUAUGGAUGCAAACUUCCAGCCUGGACAUUCUGAGAACCAGCAUUCAUUCCACAAUGGAGGAAGUGUGGCUGCCCUGUCCCUGAUGCACCAUGGUCUGCCAUUGUUACCACAUUACAGUACUGGAGCAAAUCUAGGGACAGACAUGACAGCUGCAGAUGGAAUUAAAAUGGAAGCACCAAGCUGGGAAGGAAGUCGUCUAGGCAUAGCAGAUAUACAAGAGAAGCAACAGGGCUGGAACACGAAGUGGAGUCACUAAAUCUCGGUGGAAUUAGCAGAAGAAUUGUGCAGAUGUGGAGAUAGUAAAGACGUAACUCUUCUGAGUAUCUACUUUUUUUUUUUAAUGAAAUAUGUCCAUCUGUAGCUAAGAAAUAUGCUUUGGUCUUUUCAUCUAGUGUUUGGGAUACAAAACUUUGGUAGCUGUGUUAGAAUUUCCUUCUGGUAAACCUUCCUGCAGUCUAUAGAGUUUAUUUGGUUUAUAAGUACAGUCACUGUUCUUCAUUUCUCCCAACUCUGAUUUUUCUGCUGUUUGAUGGCUGAGCCACAAUAUACUUGAAAUGCAUAAUAUUGUAAAGCAAGUCUGCUUGUUCCUGGUCAUUGAGCUUGUGUUGUGAAUGUCGCCUUGGCUGACUCGACAAUGAAUCCUCUCCCUUGUUAAUGAUAGAUGACAUGGGUGUUCCAGUGGCAUGGCCGGUACAUCUCCAGUGUGGCGAUGAUUUAGCGCCAAGACAUGUCAAAAAUGUAGAAGUUAGUAUUUACAUGAUUCGGUGUACAUAACUAUUUUGGAACCAGGAAAUAUUGUAGCUCCUCCUUCGAAAGUAAGUUCUUUGCAUGUUUCAUCCUUGGUUUGAUAAUUGCUUUGUAGUUUACAAAAUAAAUGAUUGUAAAAAUUUGAUUGCAGUGACAGUAUAUAUUUUUUUGUAGUCAUGUGUUUUGACUUUGUUUUUCUGUUAGUGAGGGAAUUGUCAUCAGUCUUCAGUUUUCUGAGAUGAUCCAAUAUAAAGUACAGUCACAGUCUUAGCUUGGACAGAAGUGAUCUAUUAUAUAGUAGUUUUGCUGCGUGUAGGUUUGGCUGAUCUUGAAGCCAGGGUUAUGGCGGGAUUUGUUCAAGUGUUCAUAACUUAUAGUGAUUUGGGACACUUUAUGUUUUCCAUACAUAUUUUGAAUUGAUUAUAUUAUUACAUGUAAGUACCAGAGAGAAGACAAAACAGAGAUGGUAGACAGGAAAGAGAGAGGAGUUUACUAACAUUUCUUGCCUUUGUGUUUUGUUAAUCUCAUUUUAAUGGGUGCAUUUUGCCCCCAUUUUGCUAGGAAGAUGAUGUAUCUUCUAUGGGCUGAGAGGCAUGAUAUGGUCCUUCAAAGUUAUUGCCUUAUCUGCACAAGUAGCACUUGGAGGGACAUUCAGUAAAGGAAUCUGUAAUAUUGCUUGUACAUGAAGACUUAAAAUAUAUCUUUAUGCACUGUGA